GCAUGAUGAGAUAUCCAGCUGGCACCAGUCAUAGGGUGACUUGUACUCCCUCCUUUGAUGACCUAUAUGCUGUGGUCUUAGAACCAUAUCUGAU
rfam:Fusarium langsethiae strain Fl201059 Fl201059_contig5, whole genome shotgun sequence.